rnacentral:rRNA from 1 species
CGAGGGGAGUGAAAAAGAACCUGAAACCGUGUACGUACAAGCAGUGGGAGCACGCUUAGGCGUGUGACUGCGUACCUUUUGUAUAAUGGGUCAGCGACUUAUAUUCUGUAGCAAGGUUAACCGAAUAGGGGAGCCGAAGGGAAACCGAGUCUUAACUGGGCGUUAAGUUGCAGGGUAUAGACCCGAAACCCGGUGAUCUAGCCAUGGGCAGGUUGAAGGUUGGGUAACACUAACUGGAGGACCGAACCGACUAAUGUUGAAAAAUUAGCGGAUGACUUGUGGCUGGGGGUGAAAGGCCAAUCAAACCGGGAGAUAGCUGGUUCUCCCCGAAAGCUAUUUAGGUAGCGCCUCGUGAAUUCAUCUCCGGGGGUAGAGCACUGUUUCGGCAAGGGGGUCAUCCCGACUUACCAACCCGAUGCAAACUGCGAAUACCGGAGAAUGUUAUCACGGGAGACACACGGCGGGUGCUAACGUCCGUCGUGAAGAGGGAAACAACCCAGACCGCCAGCUAAGGUCCCAAAGUCAUGGUUAAGUGGGAAACGAUGUGGGAAGGCCCAGACAGCCAGGAUGUUGGCUUAGAAGCAGCCAUCAUUUAAAGAAAGCGUAAUAGCUCACUGGUCGAGUCGGCCUGCGCGGAAGAUGUAACGGGGCUAAACCAUGCACCGAAGCUGCGGCAGCGACGCUGAUGCGUUGUUGGGUAGGGGAGCGUUCUGUAAGCCUGCGAAGGUGUGCUGUGAGGCAUGCUGGAGGUAUCAGAAGUGCGAAUGCUGACAUAAGUAACGAUAAAGCGGGUGAAAAGCCCGCUCGCCGGAAGACCAAGGGUUCCUGUCCAACGUUAAUCGGGGCAGGGUGAGUCGACCCCUAAGGCGAGGCCGAAAGGCGUAGUCGAUGGGAAACAGGUUAAUAUUCCUGUACUUGGUGUUACUGCGAAGGGGGGACGGAGAAGGCUAUGUUGGCCGGGCGACGGUUGUCCCGGUUUAAGCGUGUAGGCUGGUUUUCCAGGCAAAUCCGGAAAAUCAAGGCUGAGGCGUGAUGACGAGGCACUACGGUGCUGAAGCAACAAAUGCCCUGCUUCCAGGAAAAGCCUCUAAGCAUCAGGUAA